CCGCCCGGGGGGGGGGGAAGGCCCGGACCCUCCUGCUCCCCCUCCUCCUCUCCCUCCUCCCGCCCCUCCUCCCGCCCCGGCCCCGACCCCUCCCGCCCCCGGCCCCCUCGCCCCGACCCUCCCCCGGCCCCCGCCUCGCCCCUCCGGCUUCCCACCACGGCCUCUCUCGGCGAGGAAACUCUGGCCUCCGCUUCCUCCUCCUCCGACUCGGACGCCGGCGGAGCCUCCCCGCCCCCGCGGAAGAAACCCCGAGCCUCGGCGGCGGAGGGAGCAGGAGAGCCCGGGGCUUCGGCAGGCAGAGCAGGCCUCUCCCCUCCGUCCUCGUCGUCCUCGUCCUCGUCGUCGUCGUCGUCCUCCUCCUCCUCCUCCGUGGUGGUGGUGGUGGGACUGCCCCCGGCCGCUGCCCCCGCCGCCCCCCACCGAAGUAGCGGCCACAGCCUGGUCAGCGGCAGCAUCAUGCAGGCCAACGGGGCAGGAGGAGGAGGAGGAGGAGGCGGCGGCGGCGGCGGCGGCGGAGGGGGCGGCGGGGGCCAGGGACAGACCCAGGAGCUGGCCUGCCUGUCGGCCCAGAACGGGGAGUCGUCCCCCUCGUCGUCGUCGUCCGCGGGGGACCUGGCCCACGCCAACGGGCUGCUGCCUUCCGCCCCCUCCGCCGCCAGCAACAAUAGCAACAGCCUGAAUGUCAAUAACGGGGUCCCCGGCGGGGCCGCCGCAGCCGCCGCCGCCGCCGCAGCCUCGGCCGCCGCCGCCGCCUCCUCGGCCACCCCGGAGCUGGGCAGCAGCCUCAAGAAGAAGAAGCGGCUCUCCCAGUCCGACGAGGAUGUCAUUCGGCUCAUAGGACAGCACUUGAAUGGCUUAGGGCUCAACCAGACUGUUGAUCUCCUCAUGCAAGAGUCAGGAUGUCGUUUAGAACAUCCUUCUGCCACCAAAUUCCGAAAUCAUGUCAUGGAAGGAGACUGGGAGAAGGCAGAAAAUGACCUGAAUGAACUAAAGCCUUUAGUGCAUUCUCCUCAUGCUAUUGUGGCACAAACAUUUUCUGACCCUCCCAUCAACUUUUCCCCUCACUGCUGCUUUCUGUCCUGUCAGAGGAUGAAGUUUUUGCUGCUGCAGCAGAAGUACCUAGAGUACCUGGAGGACGGCAAGGUCCUGGAGGCGCUUCAAGUUCUGCGCUGCGAGUUGACGCCCCUGAAAUACAACACGGAGCGCAUUCACGUCCUUAGCGGGUAUCUGAUGUGUAGCCAUGCAGAAGACCUACGUGCAAAAGCAGAAUGGGAAGGCAAAGGAACAGCUUCCCGAUCCAAACUGUUGGACAAACUGCAGACGUAUUUGCCGCCAUCAGUGAUGCUUCCCCCACGGCGUUUACAGACUCUCCUGCGGCAGGCAGUGGAAUUACAGAGGGAUCGGUGCCUAUAUCACAACACCAAACUCGAUAAUAACCUAGAUUCUGUGUCUCUGCUUAUAGAUCAUGUUUGUAGUAGGAGGCAGUUCCCAUGUUAUACUCAGCAGAUACUUACGGAGCAUUGUAAUGAAGUGUGGUUCUGUAAAUUCUCCAAUGACGGCACUAAACUAGCCACAGGAUCGAAAGAUACCACAGUUAUCAUAUGGCAAGUUGAUCCGGAUACACACCUGCUAAAACUGCUUAAAACCUUAGAAGGACAUGCUUACGGCGUCUCCUACAUCGCGUGGAGUCCGGACGACAGCUACCUUGUUGCUUGUGGCCCAGACGACUGCUCUGAGCUCUGGCUUUGGAAUGUACAGACGGGAGAGCUAAGGACAAAAAUGAGCCAGUCUCAUGAGGACAGUUUGACGAGUGUGGCUUGGAAUCCGGAUGGGAAGCGCUUCGUAACUGGAGGUCAGCGCGGCCAGUUCUACCAGUGUGAUUUAGAUGGGAACCUCCUUGACUCCUGGGAAGGGGUGAGAGUGCAAUGCCUUUGGUGCUUGAGCGACGGCAAGACUGUUCUGGCAUCAGACACACACCAGCGCAUCCGGGGGUACAACUUCGAGGACCUUACAGAUAGGAACAUAGUACAAGAAGAUCAUCCCAUUAUGUCUUUUACUAUUUCCAAGAAUGGCCGAUUAGCUUUGUUAAAUGUAGCAACUCAGGGAGUUCAUUUAUGGGACUUGCAAGACAGAGUUUUAGUAAGAAAGUAUCAAGGUGUCACACAAGGGUUUUAUACGAUUCAUUCAUGUUUCGGAGGCCAUAAUGAAGACUUCAUCGCUAGUGGCAGUGAGGAUCACAAGGUUUACAUCUGGCACAAGCGUAGCGAGCUGCCCAUUGCGGAGCUGACAGGGCACACGCGCACAGUGAACUGUGUGAGCUGGAACCCACAGAUCCCAUCCAUGAUGGCCAGCGCCUCAGACGAUGGCACUGUUAGAAUAUGGGGACCAGCACCUUUUAUAGACCACCAGAAUAUUGAAGACGUUUUAGUGAGAAAGACCAGCCGCAGUGAGAAACCCAUCUGCUGACCUUUUAUUCUAACAGUAGAGUUCCCUACUGUAUCGUUUUGAGGGAUGCGUAAAGUAGAAUAGGAUCAAGCAGACACAUGCUGCAACGCAGACGAAUCUCCAAAACAAUAUGCCAAGUGCAAGACCCGGACGCAGAAGACCACUUAGUGCGACCCCGUUAUGUGAAAUGAGUGGGCAGGUCCUUGGACACCAAAAGUAGACCGGUGGGGUGCUGAGGGCUGUGUGCUGCUGUUUGUAUGACUGCUAGUGGGUGACGAGACGGUUGUCCAACCCUGUGAAUGUGCCCGUAAUAGCCACUGAACUGUGUGCAGGAGGCUUCCUGACCCGUUCCCGAAAACAGUGGGAACGUAGCACAGAAUUCCAGGCUGAGCGGACGAAGCACGCGGUCCCAGGCGCCCUCCUACCUUGGACUUCACUCCUCUUUCCUUUUGUCAUCUAAUCGUAAAGAUUUUCUGUUCCACAGAACUACUUCAAGGUUCAUUUUUAAAAGGAAUGCAGUAGCAUGGAUAGUUGAUGGCGAAUGUGGAGCAGACGACUUCUGUUUAACUUAAAAUUAGUCGUAUUUUAAUGGCUUGGGAUUUGGUGCAAACAAACAUGAUUGAUAGCUGGACAGACAUGCUCGUCAUGAAAAAAGAACCAUUUCUGAAGCCCGAUUGGGGCCAAACAUUUACACCUUGCUUCAUAGUAACCAGUUGAGAUGAAGCACGUCGUUAGAACGUUGUUGGACACCAUGUUGAAUUAUCCCCCCAUCGGUUGUGAAGAACUGUGCUACAUUCAGGCUUACCCAUUGAACUCAGUAUAUAUAUUUUUUUCCCUCCUGCCUUUUGUCUGGUGGGAUACCAUUCUUGUUGCUCUUCUGUGUAAUGAAGUUUAAAUGCUUGUUUGGAAAACUUUAUUUAACAGUUUAGAAGGCUUGAUAGAAGGAGUGCAUUAGUCUGAAGAGUAUACAUUGGAUAGGAAAGAAUUUCCUUCUUUUGUUUCUCCAAAAUCUUUCCGCCUUAUUUAGCUUGAGAUCUUUGCAGCUUGGUUCAUGGAUUCUAGCCUUGCCCGUUGCGCAGUAUAUACUGAUCCAGAUGAUAAACCAGUGAACUAUGUCAAAAGCACUCUCAAUAUUACAUUUGACAAAAAGUUUUGUACUUUUCACAUAGCUUGUUGCCCCGUAAAAGGGUUAACAGCACAAUUUUUUAAAAAUAAAUUAAGAAGUAUUUAUAGGAUUAAAGUGACUUCAUUUGUAUACAUUUGGAAUCUAAACCAGCUUCAAAAAGUUCCCUCUGUGAUUUAGAUAACGCAGUAUAACUGACGCUCUUCUGCAGCCCCACAUGAGACUUGCCCAGGGGAUCCAGAGUCAUACCGUGAAGGUUUCCCCCCUUUGUUUUAUUCCUGAAGGAACAUCAGUACCUGAUGUUGAAGAAAUUCAAGAUUAAAAAGAGAAUUUUAAACCUCUGCCGACAGGAGAGAUCAGUAGUCCACAUAGGUUCGCAACAAAGCACGUUCCAAGUUGUUCUCGGCUCGGGAAGGUGUUCUGGUGCGAUCCAGCGGGCGCGUGGCGAUGAGGGGUAACCACUGGGGAAGUUCCUAGUCUGCUUGAGCUUGUCCGAAGAAUUCAGCAGGUUCCAGACAGACCGAAACUGGGUUUAAAACCUCACAGUCCUUGAUCUUAAUGGCCCUUGAUAUUCUGACCUGUAGAGCUACAUAAAUUUACAGAAAGCUCCUUCUCAGUUUUCCGGAUAUUGCCAUACUGAACCUCAUUCUAUACUGGUGCUGUGGGUAGUCCUUGCCUCCCCUCCCCCUUCGGUUUAAGGGAAGGUCUCUUUCGUGGAAAAGCACUUUUAACCCUGAGAAUUUCACAUUUAGAAUAAGCCAAAAGCCUGAUGUUCACAUUGUGCUUUUAAACCCCGUAACAGCUGAAUGCAGCCGACUUCCUCUCCUUCGAGACUCCCUCCCUCCCCUUCUCUACUAGUAGAGGCUCCGGGGGGACCGCGGCUGUUAGGCUGGGAGGAGGAGUGGGAGUACCCCCGAGAUAAGAUUCUGGUGAAGAAAAGGGCUUGUACUAAGUCCCCUUUGGGGCCCAGCCAAGCCUGCCAUCUGUCACCGGCCUGAGUUGGCGCACUCAGGACCCAGAGCGGGGAAAGGCUUGGGUGUCAGGAACUGUCCCGUGGGUGCGGGGCAGGGCGGCUGCAGGGAGAAACGGGAAAGUCAGGGAGGGGAGAAGAAAGACAAACACAAUUGGCCUUAAACUAGCACGGAUUCUCCCAAAAGCUCAUAGUAAGAGAAAGUGACAGACCGUGGUCAGCAGAUUAUUUUAUCAAAUUGGUAUGUAAAAGAUUUCUUUAAGCUCCAUUUUGCAGAGACCACCACUUAGAGAAUCAAGAAUUCCUGUUUUGAUACUUCUGAGUUACAAUAACUAUAUGUUACAGUUUAUCUGGUACUUCAUUUUUCUUAAAUUACUUUUUACUUUGAGCUUGAAUAAAAGUCUUCAUUGGUAACUGUAUAUAAUUAAGUGGCAACUUGUCUUUACCUCAGUGCAGUUAAACCCAUUCGUGUUUUCAGUGAUUCGCUAAACCUGAAGCCGUUAAUGUGCCCCAGUCUCUACAGAAACGUCCGCACGAUCGGUGGGCAGAGAGGGGCGGCAGCGGGACUGAGCUGAAGCAGUGGCCCAGGGCCACCGCUGACGCCCCCUGGGAGCCCUGCCUGGCCCGCAGUCUGUCCCAGGCUUCACCCAGCCAGCCCCAGAUGGGGAGUUUUUCUGUGAAAAACACUGUUUAGAAAGGGGGGGGGCAUAGAGGUGAGGCGCAUUUUACAAAGAGCAUAACUCCACUAAGUUAGUGGAGUGACAAGGAUGCCCGCAGAGCAGCUAGGGGAGUGCGCUAUGGGCCCCCGGGCCACACGGGGACUGUGCUAGGCGAGGUCACUGUGAAGACACCUAGGACGGGCUGAACGGGACGUAGCUAGAACCUGACAGCCUCUGACGGUGCUGUCGUCUGUAGACUCGAGUGAGGACACGGGCGAGCCAGCACAGGAUACUAACAAAUGUAUAAACUGAAAAGUACCAAUACUUUUUGCACAUAGAUCAAAAUAGAGAAUUUGGGCUCUAAAAAUCAGGUUAGUAGGCUCGUUUCCAUGUGCUUAAAAAUGUUUUUGUUGUUCAUUAAGGGCUGGAGUGAGUAUGAAAUUAAAUGUCUUUUUCCUCCAAAUAAUCGGUUACGGCUAGUACAGCAUCGGACUUGAGGAUCAGGACUGGGGGGGGCAGGGAAUGAAGAGCCAGCGGAGGGGCGUGGGGCACAGCUUUCUUUCUGGGCCUCGUGUCAUUAGUGUUCGUCCCGGCUCCAUUUCUGCUACUCUUCUAGGCCAGGCGAACAUGUUGUGUUAAACCAGGUAAGUAGUCUAAACAGGAGAUUUGCAGGCGUCCCGACACAUGGGCCCAUUUUAGUGGGUGGGAGAACAGACGGGUUACCUAGCUUUAAGUACAAAUGAGCUGAUUAAAGGAACCUGCUAGUUGAGAGGGAAACAAACAAAAAUUCCCAAUUUGGGUCCAUAUUUUCAUCUGCACUCACCCCCGGAGAAAUAGGGCGGUUUGUGUUCUCCAGAACGGUGUUCUGUGACAUUAAUAGAAAACCCUUCUUUCCCACCCCUCCCCGUCUUGAAAUUUUCUUUUUUAGGCUGUUGUUUCCUGCACUCGAACUGACCCUAUCACCUCUGCUCAGUGGUAAAUAGACCGCACAUCUCUUGAAAGGGAGCUAUCUGAGUCCGUUUCUAUGACAGCAGAAGAAUGGCUGCUUUUGAAUGGGGAGGAAAGAAGACCUUUUUCUUAAUAUCCUUUGUGUCCCAUCUCCAAAAUGUAUAAACAUCCCGAUUUCAUUUUACGUUAGUCUGUCAUUUAGAUUUCAGCAGCUCUCUUUUGGCCUUAUUCUCCAGAAUACUACUUGCAUUUUCAAAACCAUAUCUGAUUUCCUAGAAACGGCUAACUUUAAAAGAAGUGGUGACUUUGCAUUUAUUUACACUUAGACACUUUCUAAAAACAGGGUGAACUUAAUUGAAGUUUUCAGUGUUGUUAAGCUAUUGUUACAGUAGGUGCCCUAUAGUUGCAGAAACAAAACCUGUAAAAACCCAUCCCUGUCACUUAAUCCAGAUAGGCUGGAUUUACUGAAACUAACAGUAUGAAAACGUGUGUGUGCGUGCGCGUGCGUGUGUGUGCGUGCGCAUGCGUGCCGUGCGUCUGUGUGGGAGAGAGUACUUAAUCCAUAAAAAGUCCUAGAAACCGCUUUCUGGGUUCUUGUCGAUUUUACUAGUCUCGUGCACGUGUGAAGUGCCCUCUCUGAGUUUAGGGUCUGGUUAAUACUGGUAUAUUUUUAUAAGAUUGAGAUGUGUCCCCAUCUUUAACUCAAGCAUUUUCAUUAUCAGGGUCACUGUGCUAAAACCGAAUCAUAACAUUUUUAGGCACAGAUGGAAAAAAAUGUCAUUGGCUCCUUGAAAACGUGUGUGUGUGUGGCGAGGGGAUAGAUCCACAGGAGCAUGUUUGUACUUACAAACCAAGCUGGAGAGAUCACGAACAGGACUUAUGUGCUGAUCUCAAGACACCUAAAUUGUCGAGAUUUCCACGGCAUUGUGAUGGAACUGGCAGACACGUAGAGCUUUUGGUCUGUAAUAACUAUUUGCUAUGGACAGAUUCAGUGUUUCAGAGGAUUGUGUUCUCAAAUUUGGGGGGUUCUGGGUUUUUGGUUCUUGGUUUUUUUUUUUUAACUGCCUCAGAUUAUAUUUAGUAGUUUAAAUUUCUUUGCUUUAUUAUUUCAUUAAAGCAUAAAAACUUCAGGUCUCUGAUAUUUAUUUUCACUCGUUCUACUAAUUAUUUACAAAACACCCUGUUAAUUUUUAUUUUAUAAAUGUGUAGUUAUAUUAAACGUCUUUAAAAUUUUGUUCAAUUGAAACUCCAUUAACUUUGAUUUGCUUUACUGGGUUUUUUUUUUUUAAUACACCUUUUCCAUGUCCGUACGUCGCACUUACCCAAUCGUUUGUAUCCCCUUCAACCCAAUAAACAGAAUGAGUAAGACGUG